CAUAGUGCACUGAUAAUUUAGACACAAAUAUAACUCAAUAUUCAACCAAUGAGAUUGUAUCUGCUUCCAGAGCAACUUUCUCCAUGACUCCAAAAUAUAGCAACAAAAAAAGGGGGAACAAUAAGAAUUCCCUUGAGUCUUGCUUGAUUGAAAAAUUACAUUUUUAUUCAAUUUAAAGAGUAACUUUUUUUUUUUUUUUUUAGUUGUCUUCUGUGUAAGCCAAGGAGGAAGUCAUUUUCUGGGACAACGCUUCCCAAAAAGAUUCAAGCAGAAAGAAAAACUAAAACUUUUCUUUAUUAAAACAGACAAAUUUAGUGGUAAUUUUCUCCUGGGACAACUCUUCCCCAAACAAAGGUGCCUUUAGAAUGAUAGCUCAGCUCAGUAAGCCUUACAUUACACGGUGAACCUUUUCUAUUUGCAAUAGCAUCAAAGUAACAAAAACGAAAUCUUUUCAAAUUUAUAGAACAUGUAAAUUAACACUGCCAAUAAAUCAUCAAUUCACAUUUCUUUUUCAAAUCUACAAAGAAAUUACAAAAAUGUAACUUUAAAUUUGUCUUCAAAAAAGUAUAAAAUGUCUUGUCAGUAAGGAACCUCGGAGUCAAAUGGGAGCAGACAUUUAGUGGUGAACCAUUGGUGGUGAGAAAACAGAUUCAUUAAAAUUCCAUUGAAUGUACAGCUUGACAUUUUUUUAUUCACCAAGACUGUCGUGUUGUAGAUGAAAAGACUUUACAUUGACCUUUAGAUCUCAUAUGUUCAUGUCCUCUAAAUGCAGUGUAGUUAUUGCGCCACAAUAUGACAAGUAGCUGGUAAUAAAAACAGACAAAAAAAUUAAAAAAAAAGUCCAGAUAUUGCUUUAAUGUUGGAUCUGCUUUUGAGCUUGAUUGGGAAUAGCAACCAUGUGCCAGAGAUCAGCCAGUAAGAUUCAACAAGAGAAAAAAAAUAUAUAUGAUAGACUGCAUUAUCCCAGGCAUGAGACUGUAGGGGAGAACAUACAUAAUUC